rnacentral:rRNA from 1 species
AGAGCGAACGCUGGCGGCAGGCCUAACACAUGCAAGUCGAGCGCCCGUAGCAAUACGGGAGCGGCAGACGGGAUAGUAACACGUGGGAACGCGCCCUUCGGUUCGGAAUAACUCAGGGAAACUUGAGCUAAUACCGAAUACGCCCUUACGGGGAAAGAUUUAUUGCCGAAGGAACGGCCCGCGUCCGAUUAGCUAGUUGGUGAGGUAAUGGCUCACCAAGGCUACGAUCGGUAGCUGGUCUGAGAGGAUGACCAGCAUCACUGGGACUGAGACACGGCCCAGACUCCUACGGGAGGCAGCAGUGGGGAAUAUGGACAAUGGGCGCAAGCCUGAUCCAGCCAUGCCGCGUGGAUGAUGAAGGCCUUAGGGUUGUAAAGUCCUUUUAACGGGGAAGAUAAUGACGGUACCCGUAGAAUAAGCCCGGCUAACGUUCGCGCCAGCAGCCGC